rnacentral:snRNA from 1 species
GUGCUUGCUUUAGCAGCACAUAAACUAAAAUUGGAACGAUACAGAGAAGAUUAGCAUAGUUCCUGUGUAAGGAUAACACACAAAUUCAUAAACAAAUAAAUAAAUAA